UACGGGGGGGGCAAGCGUUGUUCGGAAUUACUGGGCGUAAAGGGCGCGUAGGCGGCCUUCUUAGUCGGACGUGAAAUCCCCGGGCUUAACUCGGGAACUGCGUCCGAUACUGGAAGGCUGGAGUUCGGGAGAGGAAUGUGGAAUUCCAGGUGUAGCGGUGAAAUGCGCAGAUAUCGGGAGGAACACCAAUGGCGAAGGCAGCUUGCUGGGACGGUGCUGACGCUGAGGCGCGAAAGCGUGGGGAGCAAACAGG
rnacentral:rRNA from 1 species